rnacentral:rRNA from 1 species
UACGGAGGGUGCAAGCGUUAUCCGGAUUUACUGGGUUUAAAGGGUGCGCAGGCGGAUAUGUAAGUCAGUGGUGAAAUCUCUGGGCUUAACCCGGAAAUUGCCAUUGAUACUAUAUAUCUUGAAUGCUGUGGAGGUAAGCGGAAUAUGUCAUGUAGCGGUGAAAUGCUUAGAUAUGACAUAGAACACCUAUGCGAAGGCAGCUCGCUACACUAUUAUUGACACUGAGGCACGGAA